CCCUCGGUAGCCAAGUUGGUCUAAGGCGCAAGACUGUAAAUCUUGAGAUCGGGCGUUCGACUCGCCCCCGAGGGA
rnacentral:tRNA from 1 species